rnacentral:lncRNA from 1 species
UCUUAUACAUGCAUUAAGUAGGCGAAAGUAUGAGCAGUGGAGGUCACUUGUGAGAGAUUAAGCAGUAAAGGCGAAGCAUAUGAGACAUACAACGAGUCUGUGUAUAGCAUUUGUUCAAGAAUGCUAUCCUGUUUAUUCCAUUAGACAGGACUAUCAUGAUGUUUAACAGACCAUGGGCAUAAGUGCAACACAUGAACGCUCCCUAGAAGUCAAAGCGCCUGAUAGAUUUCAAUCUGCAUCUUAAAGUCGAAUUUUGUUUCCCCGGGAAAUUUUUUGUACAGCUUGUUGAAUAGGAUAGUGUGAAACUAUUGAGCAAUAAGUUUUUUUUCUGCACAAGGAUCAAACACCUUUUCACACAUAAUCCUGGCCAUAUUAACCAGAGCUAGUAUCAAUUUCAGGCACCUUGACCAGAUAUGUGCACUACAACCUAUGUAACUGAAAAUGAAGCACAAAGAGACACCUAACUUUCCGAGGUGGCAUUACCUUGUCCUGCAAAUUAUAAUGGUCAGUCUAGUUUGAGAAGUGUUCAAGAUUUGCAAACUCAUGCAAGCCUUCCUACUCCACUGAACUAUUAGGAAGUUUAGAGGAUCACCACGUAAAAGACAUCUCCAUGUUAAUAUGUUAUUCUCUAGGCUCAACUAAGCAUUAACUGAAAUAUCAGCUGCAGAGACAAAAAAAUUGUAAUGAGCUCUUAGUUAAGAAAAAACUGUCUCAAGUAUCUUAGCAUGAUCCAAAAUGUCUGAAUAAAAUAUUUCUCAAACUGGGAACAAGAAAAGAAGUUUUGAUCACGACAAAACAUUCACCACCAUAGACACAAAGUGCUCCCACUGGGAUAUAUUGGUACAAAACAAGUUUCAGCAUGCAAAAAAAACUCAUAACAUCAGGAAAUCAGCUAUGUGGUGAUAUUCACUUUUAGGCAUGCGAUGCAAAAGGAUAACCUACAGCUCGAUAAUCGAUUGAAUAGAUAAGCUACGCGGUACUAAAGCUACCACAGAAAGGGUAAAAGGAAAUGUAUAAAAUCCUAAUCAACUAAUUCACAUAGUGGCCAUGCUAUGAGUGGAGGUGCAUCUACGGUAACUUCCAGGACAAAUGAGCACACCGGAAAUAUAAUGAAAUUCAGAGACAUAUAUAAAUCAUCGUACAGAACCUUUUCUUCCAGUCAAUCAACACAAAUUCAUAUACACUAAAAUGUCAUCAUAGAUGCAAAGGGAGACAGAGCGCCACUAGAAUCACAUGAAGAGCUCACCUCAGAGACCAUCAGUACCUUACACAGCAACAUGCUGCAUCCUACACCAUGUUGUGGAAGGAGAAACCAGAGAGUAAGACCCGUUUCGGAAGGUACUCAAUCCACCACUCCAGUCCAUUAUAUUUAUCCAGUGAAUGGCCUCCCAUAUGGCUCACAAUCUAUAAAAAUGUAAGCCACUAGUAGAAGUAGUUGACAGUAAACUAUAGCAUUAAUCAGAGAACUAUUCUUGGCCGGUCCAACUAAACGCAUGUUUUAUCAAUGUAAAAACAGAAACACAUUUUCCAUAUAUAUAUAUACACCAUAAUCAUGAUGUAGUGGUGAUGGCUUGUUCCGAAAGGGGGGAGAGCAUAAACAAAAGCAAGUAUUUACGCUAGUAAAACUACAUGGCAAUGAAAGCAGAGCUAGUUAUAGGACAUUUGUACUAAUGGCAGGAGUCCAUGACAAAUAUAGUUAUUUCAGUUCAUAUCAAAUCCAAACCUGCACAUAUUUCUAAAUAUAUGUUUUAAAUCUAUGUAAUGUAUUAUAUUUGAUGGCUAAUUUGCCGGGCAGACUACAUAAAACCGAAUCAGGAGUGAGAAAAUUAUGAUGAGGAUUAUAUAUAUAGAGAGAGAGAAUACGCGAACACGAGGACGACGGUCCGGAGGGCAGCGGUGGCACCGGAGGAACGGGCGACACCACGGUGGUAGAGCUCUCCUUAACGCCACCACGCCUCUCCCUCGCGGAGGGGGUGGGGUGAUGCUCGGGGGCGGGGCAGCCGCGGUCGCCGGCACAUGUGCAUGGGCACUCCCGCUGUGGCUCACCUCACCACGAGGUC